rnacentral:tRNA from 1 species
UUAACUGAAACCAAAAAGAGGUGUAUUAUUGUUAAUAAUAAAAAUGAAUUCUAACCAUUCCAGUUAAA